rnacentral:lncRNA from 1 species
GUGUGAAAAAUAGAGAGGAGGAUCCUCUCUCUUGGGGUGUGUGCAAAAAUCUAAAUUUUAGAUUUUUGGUUCUAAGGGUUUGAGAGGAGGAAAUAAAUUAGAAGAAAAUUAUUUUUUUCUCAAUCAUUCUUUCACCUCUUCAUCUCCUCCUGAAGUCGAUCUUCAAUUUCUGAAAAGAUUCCAGAGAUUUGAAGAAAGAAUCUAGAUCAGUCAAGAAGAAGGUCUUCGCACGAGCUAUCACUUUCAAAAAGAUCAAUC